AGGGGACACUAGUAAAUAAAUAACCGCGUAACGCAAGAGCACUCUUCAGUCCACGGAAACAAUUGGAGCGGUUUCGUCGGCUUGUAUUAUGGUUCAUCCGAAAGGUCCUUACUCGAUAUUCGCGAAAUAGUCCUCUGUUUAGUUUCGGUUUGUCUCUCUGAAAGUGGGAGCGCUAUCCGACUUGUUAGUUUCCCCCUGCCAUUUUGUCUGUCGCGCGUAUGAGACUACAGGAUGCGAUUUUGAGAAGCCUUCAGUGUGAGUUCCCGUUCUUGACAAAAGGAUUUUCGAAUUGCCCAAAAAUGGUUGCAAUUUCUCUGGUUGCAGUUCUAAUAUUUUUGGCCGGGGGCGUGUCCAAUGUUGCGGGAGUAUGCGUGCCAGUAAAUGAUAAGGGGAUGGUGACAUAUUCUUGCACAGGAGGGUCCCCCACCGAUAUGAACGUAAUUCCUCAGACUGCUGAACAAAUUUGGAUAAGUGAGAUGUCGAUUCCGCGAAUUACUGGAAACAUGUUCAACCGGUUCGGCGACACUCUCUGUGUUCUCAGACUGUCGUAUUGCGGAAUAAAGGAAAUCGAUCCUGAUGCCUUCCGGGCUCUGAAGAACCUUCAGCAACUUAGUCUGAACGAUAACGAACUUACAACCGUGAAGGCAUCGUGGUUCAAAGGGCUGACUUACUUGACGUAUCUCGAUGUCAACUACAACAGUAUUAAAACCAUCGAAGAUGGCGUUUAUAAAAAUUUGCCGAGUCUCGUAGACUUUCGGAUUUCCGGAAAUCAAUUGACCUGCCUGAAUUUCGAGGCCAUGUCUAAUCUUCAACAACUAAAAAGGAUGUUCCUCAGUGAAAACAAAGACUUCCAGUGCUCGAGUGCGAUUUCUAAAUUUUUUGCCAAACUGGACGUUAUUUUGGACAAAGAUCCUGAAGGGAAGAACGUUCCUCAGGAUCCCGUGUCAGCCGUGACGCCGACAGUUACGGAAAAUCCAACUCCCAACUGGACGCCCACAACCUACAAUAAUUCGCCGUCAAUACCAAUGAAUGAACUUCCAAAGAUCACAGAACCUGCAGCAAGGACCGAGGCGACAAGUCCACCUUCCACGUGGCUCCUAUCGUCGGUACCACCGAUACCAAUACAUGCAACCUACAAAAUAACAUCGCGUACUCCAGAGUCAACCAGUCUUCCGACGAUUUCGACGAUUUCGACGAUUUCGACGUCAGAGAGAUCACGAGAGUCUAGUGAGCCACUCGUAUAUUCGAAAUCAACGGAAACUGAGAAACCAACGAGCGUGGAUUAUUUGACGUCACGCCAGGGCGAGGCUGACAAGAGAAACGUAACUUCGGAGUGGGUUUCCACGAGUUCAAUGGAAACAACGACAGAUAAACCGCUGCCACCCUGCCCGGCAAAUUCAGCAGCCGAAACGGCGAAGCCGCUUAGCUCUUUGAGCUGCGCUCUCAUCCUGCUGAUUGGCAACGUGCUUUUGGCCAAACACAUUUAAUAUAAACGGGAAUAUUGACGAGGUAGAGACGAACCUCAUGAACUAACGCCUCUUAGCGUGCAAACUUGAAGAAUGUGACGAUAAGACUCUCUCUCCCCCCUCCCUCUCCUUUUUUCUCUCUUCCUUCCUUCCAUCGGUGUUUUUCUCGGAAUUGAAUAUCUCGUGUCUGAAAGGACAUCAAUAAGGUCGUGCUCAUAUUUCUGGAAAACGAUCGAGGCUCUGUGACACAUCGCAACUCACUAAUUAACUUUUUACUAACAUAAAUAUUUUAACGACGUCUCAUAGAAGUAAUUAAUCACAUAGUGUAUCGCGCUGGAUGCGAUUGCAUCAUUUCUUGCAUUACGUGAGAAGAUGAGCGAGCUGUGGAAACUGUAUCACGGAAGGGCUUGUUAAGGUCGACCGGAAGAAAAAAGAAUUUAAAAAAUAAGCAGGAAGUGGAUCGCAGCGAAGAAGAAGGCGGUCAAGCCCAUGCGAAUUUCUAGAAUCUUGCGAUGCUGACAUUGCGAGCCAGCCUCCUGUACAUGAUCCUGUAACAUCACGAAGAUCUAAUUGAUGCUAACCAGUAGCGAAGGACGCAGCGUAGUAUCUGGACGCUGAUGAAACAAUUAAAAAAGUCAUGGUGUUAUGUCAUAAUUAUGUAAGCGAUGGUGGCCUUUCGAUACUGUCCCGGUGACACCCGGUGACGGUGGUCACAGCUAAAUAUAAAAGGCGCUGUCGAAACCGUCGAAGCCGUCGAAGCCGUCGAAGCCGUCGAAACGCGAAGAAACGUCGAAGAAACGUCGAAGAAAAUCCGAUGGCAAGUUUACGGAGUCAAGUUCGAAGAACGCUUGUGAAUCCAUAGACUGGCGCAAGUGCAUCAGCCGACACGAAGCAGCAGCUGCAGUUGCCGAUGCGUCGUGCAACAUCACUCAGUUACGCAAGGCGCUCGGGGAGCAAGCCGCAGAGGAAGCCACUUUCUUUGUCUCGAGUUCUGCCCUACGCGCUUUCGCAGACGUCAUCUCCAGCUCAAGAGAGCCAAGUGGGCCAAGGAGGCUGCAGAGGCCGAGAGGCUGGAGAAGAUGUUGAAGCUAGAAAAGGAUGAGAACUCGGUUGAGAACGAUCUAGCCCUAGUGAUACAGAACCGUAACAGAGCACGCGCUGGUCAGGCUGAG